rnacentral:rRNA from 1 species
CCUGCCCAGUGACAUUAGUUCAACGGCCGCGGUAUCCUAACCGUGCAAAGGUAGCAUAAUAACUUGCCCAUUAAUUGUGGGCUAGAAUGAAAGGACUUACGAAAUAAAAACUGUCUCUAUGAAAUAUAUAAAAAUUAAUAUCUAACCGAAGACUGUUAGAUUAAAUCGAAGGACAAGAAGACCCUAUAGAGCUUAAUUCAAAUAAUAAGUCAUAUAUUACUAAGAUUCGGUUGGGGCGACCGGGGAAAAAAUUUAUAGAUCAUCCCUAUUUAUUAGAUUAACUAAUCAUACAAUAGACCCUUAAACAAGAUCACAGAACCAAGCUACCUUAGGGAUAACAGGCUAAUCUCUUUAAAGAGUCCUUAUCUAUAAAGAGGUUUGGCACCUCGAUGUUGGCUUAGGGAAAUAGUGCGACGCAAAAGUCACACAAGAUGGUUUGUUCAACCAAUAACGCCCUACAUGAGCUGAGUUCAGACCGGCGUAAGCCAGGUUAGUUUCUAUCCUCGAUAAAAGAUCUGCCUACAGUACGAAAGGGCCUAGGCCGAAUAAAUUUUAUUUUAAAAGAAUUAAUAUAAAGUUAAUAUUAAUAUAAUCAAACACCUUCUA